rnacentral:lncRNA from 1 species
UUCAUUAAUUAUAUUUUUGUGUUUGACAAGACCUUCGGACUUGUGUCUACGUACCAACAUAAAAAUGAGGGAUCAAAACCUCGUAGUUCGUGAUACAAAUUUCAAAGUGGAUGCAUUGAUUUUAACAAAAUUAAGUUUGUAAGGCACAAAGGCCUGAAAAUGGUUUGGAUGAGUUAGUUCUUUUUGGCUUUUGAAAAUUUAAGUCAAGUAUAG